rnacentral:snoRNA from 15 species
AGUAACUACAGUGAUGAACGAUGCAACGGAAGAGUUCCUUGAAGACUAUAUUCAUCACCCAAGACUGAUGCCACUAAUU